rnacentral:rRNA from 1 species
CCUACGGGUGGCAGCAGUCGAGAAUCAUUCACAAUGGGGGAAACCCUGAUGGUGCGACGCCGCGUGGGGGAAUGAAGGUCUUCGGAUUGUAAACCCCUGUCAUGUGGGAGCAAAUUAAAAAGAUAGUACCACAAGAGGAAGAGACGGCUAACUCUGUGCCAGCAGCCGCGGUAAUACAGAGGUCUCAAGCGUUGUUCGGAAUCACUGGGCGUAAGGCGUGCGUAGGCUGUUUCGUAAGUCGUGUGUGAAAGGCGCGGGCUCAACCCGCGGACGGCACAUGAUACCGCGAGACUAGAGUAAUGGAGGGGGAACCGGAAUUCUCGGUGUAGCAGUGAAAUGCGUAGAUAUCGAGAGGAACACUCGUGGCGAAGGCGGGUUCCUGGACAUUAACUGACGCUGAGGCACGAAGGCCAGGGGAGCGAAAGGGAUUAGAUACCCCAGUAGUC